rnacentral:rRNA from 1 species
UGGGGAAUAUUGCACAAUGGGGAAGACCCUGAUGCAGCGACGCCGCGUGAGCGAAGAAGUAUCUCGGUAUGUAAACUUCUAUCAGCAGGGAAGAAAAUGACGGUACCUGACUAAGAAGCCCCGGCUAACUACGUGCCAGCAGCCGCGGUAAUACGUAGGGGGCAAGCGUUAUCCGGAUCUACUGGGUGUAAAGGGAGCGUAGACGGAAGAGCAAGUCUGAUGUGAAAGGCUGGGCUUAACCCAGACUGCAUUGGAACUGUUUUCUAGAGUUGCCGGAGAGGUAAGCGGAAUUCCUAGUGUAGCGGUGAAAUGCGUAGAUAUUAGGAGGAACACCAGUGGCGAAGGCGGCUUACUGGACGGUAACUGACGUUGAGGCUCGAAAGCGUGGGGAGCAAACAGGAUUAGAUACC